CGGGGAGUAGCGCAGUUUGGUUUAGCGCACUCGCUUGGGGUGCGAGAGGUCGGCAGUUCGAAUCUGCUCUCCCCGACCA
rnacentral:tRNA from 1 species